UACGAAGGGUGCAAACGUUGCUCGGAAUUAUUGGGCGUAAAGCGCACGUAGGCGGCUUUGUGUGUCGGAUGUGAAAUCCCUCGGCUCAACCAAGGAAGUGCAUUCGAAACUGCAAAGCUUGAGUACUUAAGAGGAUCGCGGAAUUCCCGGUGUAGAGGUGAAAUUCGGUAGAUAUCGGGAGGAACACCAGUGGCGAAGGCGACGCCUGGACCGGCAUU
rnacentral:rRNA from 1 species